rnacentral:rRNA from 1 species
AUGUCUCUUUGAAGCGAAGAUAUAAGGAGUCUAGCCUGCCCGGUGACAUAGUUUAACGGCUGCAGUAUCUUGACUGUGCAAAGGUAGCAUAAUAACUUGCCUUUUAAUUAGAGGAUAGAAUCAACGGCCUGACGAGAGUAAAGCUAUCUUUUUUGUUUUUACUAAAAUUUAUCUUUUAAGUUAAAAGGCUUAAAUACAGCUAAAAGACGAUAAGACCCUGUUGAGCUUUAAAGAAAUAAAAUGAUUAUUUGUUAUUAACGAAAUUGAUGAUAAUUUUAAAAAAUUUUGGUUGGGGCGACCGCGGAGUACAAAAAACCUCCAUAUUGAUAAAUUAAUUUCUAUUUUUGAUCCAUAUUUUGUGAUAAGAGGAAUUAGUUACCAUAGGGAUAACAGCGCACUACUUUUAGGGAGAUCAUAUUUCUAGAAGAGAUCGCGACCUCGAUGUUGGAUUAAGGUAUACUAAAAGGAGCAGAAGCUUUUUAAGUUAGUCUGUUCGACUAUUAAACCCUU